ACGGAAGGCAGCAGUGAGGAAUAUUGGUCAAUGGGCGAGAGCCUGAACCAGCCAAGUAGCGUGAGGGAUGACUGCCCUAUGGGUUGUAAACCUCUUUUAUACGGGAAUAAAGUGCGGCACGUGUGCCGCUUUGCAUGUACCGUAAGAAUAAGCAUCGGCUAAUUCCGUGCCAGCAGCCGCGGUAAUACGGAAGAUGCGAGCGUUAUCCGGAUUUAUUGGGUUUAAAGGGAGCGUAGGCCGUGCUUUAAGCGUGUUGUGAAAUGUAGGCGCCCAACGUCUGCACUGCAGCGCGAACUGGAGCACUUGAGUACGCAGGAAGUAGGCGGAAUUCGUCGUGUAGCGGUGAAAUGCUUAGAUAUGACGAAGAACUCCGAUUGGGAAGCCAGCUUACUGUAGCGCCACUGACGCUGAUGCUCGAAAGCGUGGGUAUCGAACAGGAUUAGAUACCCUGGUA
rnacentral:rRNA from 1 species